GACGAACGCUGGCGGCGUGCUUAACACAUGCAAGUCGAACGGAAAGGCCCCUUCGGGGGUACUCGAGUGGCGAACGGGUGAGUAACACGUGAGUAACCUGCCCUCGACUUCGGGAUAACUUCAGGAAACUGGGGCUAAUACCGGAUAGGAAUCCUUGCUGCAUGGUGGGGGUUGGAAAGCUUCGGCGGUUUUGGAUGGACUCGCGGCUUAUCAGCUUGUUGGUGGGGUAGUGGCUUACCAAGGCUUUGACGGGUAGCCGGCCUGAGAGGGCGACCGGCCACAUUGGGACUGAGGUACGGCCCAGACUCCUACGGGAGGCAGCAGUGGGGAAUAUUGCACGAUGGGCGGAGGCCUGAUGCAGCAACGCCGCGUGCGGGAUGACGGCCUUCGGGUUGUAAACCGCUUUCAGCAGGGGCGAAGCUUGUGGUGACGGUACCUGCAGAAGAAGCACCGGCUAACUACGUG
rnacentral:rRNA from 1 species